AGAGUUUGAUUCUGGCUCAGAUUGAACGCUGGCGGCAUGCCUUACACAUGCAAGUCGAACGGCAGCACGGGAGCAAUCCUGGUGGCGAGUGGCGAACGGGUGAGUAAUGUAUCGGAACGUACCUUUCAGUGGGGGAUAACGUAGCGAAAGUUACGCUAAUACCGCAUAUUCUGUGAGCAGGAAAGCAGGGGAUCGCAAGACCUUGCGCUGAUUGAGCGGCCGAUAUCAGAUUAGCUAGUUGGUGAGGUAAAGGCUCACCAAGGCGACGAUCUGUAGCGGGUCUGAGAGGAUGAUCCGCCACACUGGAACUGAGACACGGUCCAGACUCCUACGGGAGGCAGCAGUGGGGAAUUUUGGACAAUGGGCGCAAGCCUGAUCCAGCCAUGCCGCGUGAGUGAAGAAGGCCUUCGGGUUGUAAAGCUCUUUCAGCCGGGAAGAAAACGCAUGGGUUAAUACCCUGUGUGGAUGACGGUACCGGAAUAAGAAGCACCGGCUAACUACGUGCCAGCCGCCGCGGUAA
rnacentral:rRNA from 1 species